GAUCAAGUGUCUUAAGGGCAAUUGGUGGAUGCCUUGGCAUGCACAGGCGAUGAAGGACGUGAUACGCUGCGAUAAGCUACGGGGAGGUGCGAAUACCCUUUGAUCCGUAGAUUUCCGAAUGGGGAAACCCACCUAAGGUACUUGGAAAAUCAGAGCAGCCAGAAGGUCGCAAGGCCGACUUGCUGCUGUGGUUUCCAAGUAUCGUUAAUAGGUAACUUAUCCUGAAUACAUAGGGAUAAAGUGGCGAACGCGGGGAACUGAAACAUCUAAGUACCCGUAGGAAAGGACAUCAACCGAGACUCCGGAAGUAGUGGCGAGCGAACCCGGACCAGGCCAGUGGCGAUUGAGAGACAAGCGGAACCUUCUGGAAAGUAGGGCCAUAGUGGGUGACAGCCCCGUACGCGUAAUGCAAUCAAUCGUCCUCGAGUAAGGCGGGACACGUGAAAUCCUGUCUGAAAUUGGGGGGACCACCCUCCAAGCCUAAGUACUCGUGCAUGACCGAUAGCGAACUAGUACCGUGAGGGAAAGGUGAAAAGCACCCCGACAAGGGGAGUGAAAGAGUACCUGAAACCGAUUGCCUACAAACAGUGGGAGCCCGCAAGGGUGACCACGUACCUUUUGUAUAAUGGGUCAGCGACUUAGUGUGACGAGCAAGCUUAAACCGCUAGGUGUAGGCGCAGCGAAAGCGAGUCUGAACAGGGCGUUCAGUUCGUCGCAUUAGACCCGAAACCGAGUGAUCUAGCCAUGAGCAGGUUGAAGGUAAGGUAACACUUACUGGAGGACCGAACCCAUAACUGUUGCAAUAGUUCGGGAUGACUUGUGGCUAGGGGUGAAAGGCCAAUCAAACUCGGAAAUAGCUGGUUCUCCGCGAAAUCUAUUUAGGUAGAGCGUCGACCGAAUACCCCAGGGGGUAGAGCACUGGAUGGGCUAGGGGUCCUCACCGGAUUACCAAACCUAACCAAACUCCGAAUACCUGGGAGUACUAGUCGGCAGACACACGGCGGGUGCUAACGUCCGUCGUGAAAAGGGAAACAACCCUGACCUACAGCUAAGGUCCCCAAGUUAUGGCUAAGUGGGAAAGGAUGUGAGGAUCCCAAAACAACCAGGAUGUUGGCUUAGAAGCAGCCAUCAUUUAAAGAAAGCGUAACAGCUCACUGGUCUAAAUAAGGGUCUUUGCGCCGAAAAUGUAACGGGGCUAAAGCCAUACACCGAAGCUUAGGGUUCGUAGCAAUACGAGCGGUAGCGGAGCGUUCUGUA
rnacentral:rRNA from 1 species